AUUUUUAAAGAUUUUCUCCUCAGAUAUUUUCAUAAGGAGCUGGGAAUCAAACUUGUCCUGAAAGAUCAAGGCAUGGCAGAAGGAAGGGAGUUUAUUAACUACAAAAAUAUGACUAUUCUCCAAAUAUUGAAUAUCCAUUCUAAAGUUAUCAACAUCUGACUGGAAAAUGUUUGCUGGUUUCAGUUUGUUUACAAGCCAAAGACUUUAUCCACAGCAUCGCUAGAUAGACCUAGAAAAAAUAAUUGUCUAAAAAGCAUAACCGAAAGCUGUUUGAUGAUUUCAGUGGGGUUUGGGUAGCUUCCUAUGAUCCUAUUUUCAUAAAAAGAUGUAUUUGAAUGUAUA